GACGAACGCUGGCGGCGUGCUUAACACAUGCAAGUCGAACGGAAAGGCCCUGCUUUUGUGGGGUGCUCGAGUGGCGAACGGGUGAGUAACACGUGAGUAACCUGCCCUUGUCUUUGGGAUAACUUCAGGAAACUGGGGCUAAUACCGGAUAGGAGAUCCUGCUGCAUGGUGGGGGUUGGAAAGUUUCGGCGGUUGGGGAUGGACUCGCGGCUUAUCAGCUUGUUGGUGGGGUAGUGGCUUACCAAGCCUUUGACGGGUAGCCGGCCUGGGAGGGUGACCGGCGACAUUGGGACUGAGAGACGGCCCAGACUCCUACGGGAGGCAGCGGGGGAGAGUAUUACACAGUGGGCGGGAGCCUGAUGCGGCGGCGCCGCGUGCGGGAUGACGUCCUUCGGGGUAUAAACCGCUUUCGCCUGUGACGAAGCGUGAGUGACGGUAAUGAGUAAAGAAGCACCGGCUAACUACGUG
rnacentral:rRNA from 1 species